rnacentral:rRNA from 1 species
CAACUUUUGACAAUGGAUCUCUUGGUUCUCGCAACGAUGAAGAGCGCAGCAAAAUGCGAUAAGUAGUGUGAAUUGCAGAAUACGUGAAUCAUCGAAUCUUCGAACGCAUAUUG